AAGGAAGACGAGGUUCAACGGGUGCUUCUGUUUGUAGGCAUACAGAGGCCAUAACACUAAGGAAGACAGUUAGUAACAAACAAUGUGAAGGCAUUUGAAAGCCUAAGGAUUUGCAGCAUUGAGGGAUUAGUGAAGAUCUGCUACGACACUACGAAUCGACGAAUUUGAAGGUGAAGAAAUACGAACAGGCGUUUAUGAUUAUUUACUCGAAGAACACCGGAUCUAUGAAUUAUUCUCAGAAAUCGCGAAGAUUAACCGACAAAAUCAGGAAAAAAAAAAUCAAAAAUGAUAAAAACUCACAUAUAAAAGGAGUGAAGACGAGGAAAAGCAGCAAGGCGGAGUUUCCACGGAGGAGAUCGUUGAUCGGAGCGUAGAGAACCGUGGCGGCGGAGACGGCGGUGGUCAUAAGGAUCUGCGCCGCCAGUAUUCCGUAGACCUUGCGAAUGAAUCCCCAUCGGAGCUGAUUCUCGCCGCGGCUAAUUCCAGGGUAAAGCUUCUC